rnacentral:lncRNA from 10 species
AGAUCUGGUGUCUCCAGUUUACAGAAGCACUUGCAGAACUCAUCAGAAGCCACCCCGCUUAUCAGCAGAUCUCAAGAGAGCGUUCGGUGGAGGCCCUGGGUCUGCACAGCUCACCUCCCUGGGAACUGCUCGCCCGAGCGUCGGAGCCGGCGCUGGCCCCCUGCAGCCGGAAGGUUGCAGCCGCAGGAGCCCCGGAGGCCCAGGACACAGGACAGAGUCUCGUUCUGUCGCCCAGGCUGGAGUGCAGUGGUGUGAUCUCGGCUCACUUCAACCUCCGCCUACAGGGUUCAAGGGAUUCUCCUGCCUCAGCCUCCUGAGUAUCUGGGUACCCACCAUCAUGCCUAACUAAUUUUUUAAUUUUUGUAUUUUUAGUAGAGACAGGGUUUCACCAUGUUAGCCAGGCUGGUCUCAAACUCCUGGCCUCAAGCGAUCCACCUGCCUCCACCUCUGCCUCCCAAAGUGCUGGGAUUACAGGCAUGACCACUGUACCUGGUCACUAUAUUUUCUUUAUGUAUGAUUUGCAUAUUAUUACUUUUUAAAUAUUUGAUGACUGAUAUUGGAAUGAGGAUCAG